UACAGAGGUCUCAAGCGUUGUUCGGAUUCAUUGGGCGUAAAGGGUGCGUAGGUGGCGCUGUAAGUCAGGUGUGAAAUUUCGGAGCUUAACUCCGAAACUGCAUUUGAUACUGCGGUACUUGAGGACUGGAGAGGAGACUGGAAUUUACGGUGUAGCAGUGAAAUGCGUAGAGAUCGUAAGGAAGACCAGUGGCGAAGGCGGGUCUCUGGACAUUUCCUGACGCUGAGGCGCGAAAGCGUGGGGAGCAAACGGG
rnacentral:rRNA from 1 species